rnacentral:lncRNA from 1 species
UGCACUCCAAUUAAAUUUGAAAAUUUCAAGAUUAGAAGAUGGUUCUGGAAAGUCUAUGUCUCAUAUUUAAUUCUAGAAAAAUCACAAAUUCAUUAGUAUAAAAAUAGGAUAAAGGUAACAGGCAUGGAUGAACACAUUGGCUUUUCUGUGGUGAUUUGAUUCACAUUGGGUCUUACAAGAAAAGAUGGUGAAGUCACUUAGAUAAAAAGCCAUUAAGAUCCCACUUUUGGGAUAGGAGGAAGGAUUGUGGCCCCAGGGGGAAUAGGAACUCCACAGGAAGACCAACAGAGUCAAUUAACCUGGACCCUUGAGUCUCUCAGAGACUGAACCACCAACCAAAGAGCAUACAUGGGCUGGGCCUAGGCCUCCCGCACUUAUGUAUUAGCUUGGUCUUCAUGUGUGUCUCAAACACCUGGAGUCGGGGUGGGACUAUCCCAAAAGCUGUUGCCUGUAUAUGAGAUAUGUUCUUCUAGCUCGACUGCUUUGUCUGGCCUCAGUGGGAGAGGAAGCACCAAGCCACAGAGAGACUUGAUGUGCCAGGGUGAGGGGAUACCCAGGGGGACCCCUACCUGCUCAGAGGAGAAGGGAAGGGGGAUGGGGAGAAGGAUUGUAGGAGGGUGUGACCGGGAGAGGAGCAGUAAGCAGGAUGUAAAAUAAAUAAGUAAAAAUUAAAUAAAAAAUGAAUUAAAUCAAAGCAAAUCAUUCUAGCAGAUCACAACCCAGAUGCGCUAAUUUGGUACUUUUAUGCUGAGAGUGAGAGCUCCUUGUUUGCUAUAUUUAAAUAAUUAUAUUUGUAAAAAAUAUUAGCACUCUCAUGAUUCAUAGUUUUACUCAUUGAGCAACUUUGUCUGGUUAUAUACCAUCACAUUUAAAAGCUGGUAGCUCCUCAGAAGUCUGUGUUUUUGUUUUAAAUUAGUAACUGCAUAUGAUAUGACAAAAUUGGCAAAAUAUACUAAAUAGCUGAUGCUUACUGGAAUAACAAUUCAGUUUUUCAAUGAAAACAAAAAGGUCCCUCCUGUGCAUAUACACUAAUUAUAUUUGCAUCUUUCUGUACAUUUAUUGAAUGUGUUCUCAAAAUAGUGCCUUCGGCUAAGCCUACUAUUUAAUGAUGAUGAUUCUAGACAAAUAACCAAGGCAUUGCCCUCUUUCUUUGUUCCCUAAUUUCCAGUGUCUCCCAGUACUUCUGCAAUGAAUGCUUAAUAGGAGAAAAAAGCACUGUGCUAGCCAUUGUGAGGUUUUACCUGGUCCAAAGAAAUGCUCUUUUGCCCUUUAGCAAUUUAGGAACUAAGUGGGGUGACAGCCAUCCCAAUUCCCAACCCAUAUGCCAAGGGAGAGAGCUGUCAUAUGGCUAUAUAAUGAGGCUCCCUCCGGAGGGCCUCUCCUCUGCAAGCGAGGAGGACCGAGGCCUGCUCCUGCUUUACAUGUAUUGGAUUUGCUGUCUGGAAAUGUUGUGCCAUCUGGAAGCUUCGGUAGGGGUGAACCAAGGAGACCACCAGUGGAUUUCCAGACAGCUGGGCAGCAAUGCUGUUCGGUCAUAAGGAGUACCGUAACAAAGGCCCGACUACAUGUAAAAUUUGGGAUGGAAAAGGGACCUUCUGAAUAUGGGAUGAAACCCAUGGAAUAGAGGACACAGUAGGAGUGAAGAAACACACUUCUACUAAUUAGCUAUGUGGAGUCAAGGGUCAAAGUAGAGUUGCUGAUGCUGGAUCUUAGUGGGUGAUUAACAGUGGGUAAUCAUAGUUAGCUUUUGUCAAUUCACCAGAAACUUAUACAUACCUAGAAAGAAGAAGUCUCACUGGAAGAAUUGCUUUCCUUUGGAUUGGCCUGAGGGACAUUUUCUCAAUUGCUCCACGAUGAUGGAGGGCCCAGCCCACUGCAGGAGGUACCACAUCAUGAUAGAUGGGCUAGGCAAAAAAAAAUGUCUCAUCCUAUAUGGUUUGGAAGCUUUAUAAGUGACCAUACCAACUAGAUAGAAAUGGAGCAACAUGGUCCCGUCUUACUGAGAGGAGAAAUCUCUACUGGAACACUCUUCCCUGCCAGCUUAAUACUCAGGACAAGGCAGAAGGAAUGCUUCUCACGAGCUUCACCAAGGGAGACGGGUGGCAAGCAUCUUUCAGGCGUUCCCAAGCUCGCCCCAAUUUGUGGAGACAGCUCUGGUACCAUGGCAUUUUCUGAUGACAACAACUCCCGAUGCAGCUGUACCAACGCUGCCGCUGAUAUAUCCAUUAAAAAGAGAAGCUUGUAAAAUCCAGAUUUGAAAUUCAAUAAGGAAUUCAGAGGAAAGUCUUGCUUUCAGGCCAUCUCCUGGCUAAAUGAAUAAAUGAAUAGGGAAACUAUUGCAUACAAAAAAAAAAUGUCAAAAGCUACCAAAGGAAGCUUUGCUCACUAAUGUUUCAAAAUAGCCCCGUCUGGAAAGGUAUGCUUUUAGACUAAGAAAGCAGAAAAAAACUAAUUAGACAAGAAGUAACCGUGAACAAACAUGUUAGCAGAACCAAUAACUGGAACUGAUCAGCUAUUUCUCUAAUUGUGCCAGCUGGACAGCUAUGAUGCGCUUAGCAGAGCAUAAUUACUAAUUUCUAUUCCAUACCCCAACCCUUUUCUUUCCUCUCCCUUUUGUAGAAAUACCCAGGCAUAUGCCACUUAAUAAAAUAAUAAUAACAUUCUGUAAAGGUAAAAAGUGAGUGGGAAAAACUGAGAGCCUAUGUACGAUGACAUUUUGUGAAUGAUCAGGAGGUUGAUCGAGGACAAUCCUCUAGUUGUGUUAAUAAGAAUUUGAGCAAUCAAGGAAAUGCACUAUGAUCUUAAUUUAAAGGCUAUUAUGUGCUUGCUUCAUUACAAAUAAGGACAAUUUACAUCACUAUGUUAGCAUGGGCUUCAUAUUCAUGGUCUUUCUCACUUGGAGAGGUAUGGUUAAUUUCAGCUCAAAGCACUGUGUCUCCUAUGAUGUGAAGUUGUGCAAUCCAGUUACCUGGUGCUGUUCAGAGAAGUUUAAACAGACUACGGGUUGGGCCUAUAAAAGGAAUAGAGAUGAGAAAGUUUUCCUAGUUAAUUCAAAAGAGGAACAAUUCCUGGUUCAAUUGAUUUGUACACCCCACCCCCACCCCCCCACUCCUCAAAUGACAGCUAAACAAAGAUUUGUAAGCAUGUAAUAGUCUGGAGAGGCCGGUGUUUAAAGUCCAAGUUUAGCUGUGUAUAACUAAAGAAAGCUUAUCAUUUCUGACAUGCUGCUGUGAGAAACAGGCCCCUUUAGGGUACUUGUCACUGGGAAAAGUGACAUGUUAAAGGAAAUAUGAACACAGGGACUGAAAGGCACACCAGAAAAUACUGGAAGGAAAAAUCCUAGUAAAGUAAGGAUUUAUUGAAAGAUUUGCUUACACAGAACUUAAAGGUUUUGUCGCUUGUUGUUUGGUUUGGUUGCUUUGUGCUUUUGUGGUUUUGUAGAUAAGGUUUCUCUGUCCUGCUGUCCUAGAAUUCACUCUGUAGACCAGGCUGGCCUGGAUCUCACAGAGAUCCGCCUGCCUCUGUCUCGUUAACUAUUGAGGAUUAAGGCAUGCUCCACCACUGCCAGGCAACAACAAUGUGUUUUACUAGGAGGUAAAUGUUUCCUCAAUUUAGUUUGAGCAGAAUGAAAGAACUCAUAAUAGUAAAUAAAUACAUUUCCUCCUAGCUGUAAAGAACUUAUGAGAAAAAUGACAUUUUAAGUGACAAAGGGUCUUAGCUUUUGUGUUUGCUUUUUUGUUUCUUUCCUUUUCCUUUUUUCUUUUCCUUGCCAAGGUCUCAUAUAUCUCUGGCUGACCUGAUAUGUGCUAUCAACUUGUGAUCUUGAAUUUUUGAUCUCCUGUCUCCACCUCCUUCGUACUGGGAUUAUAGGCAUGCGCCACUGCGAUGUAAUGGUACUAGCUAGUGAUCCAAAGUAGGGAUAGCUCAGGCUUUGCGCGUGCUGGGUAAGCAUUCCGCAACUGAGCUGCAUCCCGGGCUUUUGGGUUCAUUUUUGUUUUAAGCUUUGUGAGUUCCAUGGUUCUACAGUGACAUCUACUUUACUUGACAGUGGGAAGACUGAGACUGUGUGGGAUUAUGGGUCCCUCGGUUUUACCAGCUCUGGAAAAAAAGGGGUUCCUUUUUCUUCCAUGAUGUUAUAUCAUCUAUCGUUGCCUCCAGCAAUAUACUUAAACACCGUUGGGUUUAGCUAAGCUCAGUGUAAUUUAAUGCACAUGUUUUUACUGCUCAGUUUCUGUGGUCCAGCCUAGUGGAAGACUUGUAUCUUUAGAGAACCCCCCUUCUAGUUCCAGGGGCAUCCAUUGUGUGUUUCCUUCAUUUGCAGUUAUGUAGAUGCAAAAUUAACCCAAGGUAUCUACUUGAGGUCUCUAGCAAGUCUGACUCAGAUGGUUUGAAUGGGAGUGGGGUAGAACCCACUUUUCACAUCCUUAAUUUGUGUUCCGACUUUGGACCGGGUACUGCGUGUCUCUCGAGCUUCAUGACCCCCAUGAGCUCAUGAGGAAUAUAGUAUUUAAUGAUCUCAUUACCUUUAUUCUGGGGGAUGCAGAAAGUAGAAACAGUCUUCUCCAGUAAUUAGUGCCCCCCCCCCAACCUAUCCCAAUAGGUCAGCCUUAAGCACAUAUGAGCAACAGGAAGAUCUCAGUAAAACACAGGAAGGAGGGAGACGGAUAAGAGAAGACAUAGAGAUGGGGGAGGGGAGGGAUGAUGUAAAUAAAGUACCCAUAUAGUCAACUCUCAAAAUUAAACAAACUGUAUUUGUACGGUUCCCCUUUACAUGUAGACAUCUGAUAUCCUCACUAUCAUUCGUUGAAAGGACAUUGUGUCCUUCUGGUCCUGACUCCCUUGUGAAAAUCGAUUUUACAUGCACAUGAGGACUGGCCUGCGCUGCAUUCCACUGAGCCAUACGUCCAACUUUUUGUCAGUAUCAUACAGUCUUGAUGACAGCAUCUAUGUGACAAAGUAGGAGUCAGGAAAUAGGAAUCCUGUAGCAUUGUUCUUAACAAGAUGGUCUUAUUGAUUGGGCCUCUGAGAUUCUAAAGGAUGUUAGGAUGAAAUGCUGUUUUUAUACAAAACAUCCCUGGGGUUUUGACAGCAAUUAACAUUGAAUCUGAAGAUUGCCUUGGGUAGUACUGAUACCUUAGUGAUAUUGUCUCCUACUUCAUGAACAUGGGAUGUCUUGAUGUACAUGCAGAUAAUGAAGUGGCUACAAUAGCAAUCAAAUUAGUGUGUCCUUUGCCUCACAUUUUGUGGGAUAAGACAUCUGAAAUCUACUUUUAGCAACAAUCCCAAGUAGAAUUCAAAUUAUUAACUUUCUGCCUCUGGGCUAUUUUACUUAGCAUGGUGGCUUCCAAUUUCACUCAUUUUUAUGACAAAUGCAUGAUCAUGUUCUGCAAAGCUGGAUAGCAAUCCAUUGUAUACAUGUGUUAAACUUUGUCCUUUCUUCUGUUGGUUGCUUCUGUAUCCUGAUAUUUAUGAUUGAUAAUGCAUUGCACAUGGUUGUGUGGCAUCUGUCAGGUAGUGGCUUUCCUUUAGGUAGAUGCCCCAAAGGAUUACUGACUCAUACAGUAGUUCCAUUUUAUUAUUAUCAUUUUAUAUACUUUUAGUUUCAACUUAUGUGUGCUCUUAGAUCUACUGAAUCUCUUGUAGGCAGCCUACAGUUAGACUAUUCUCCCCCUGUGGUCUGUUUUCUCUAAUAUGGGUAUUUUCAUUGCUUCAUGGUCUACACAAUUUCUUUUUAUAGUUAGUUCACUUUUGUAGGAAAAUAUUUUAAUUCUCUAAUUUCUUCUUGUAUACAUUCUAUACAUAUUUAUCAUGGUUACUGUGGAGAUAAUAUUUAAUAUUCUAAGGUUAUAACACCCUGCCUGGAAUUUUUACCAUAUUGCCUUGAUAGUGUGCAAAGUCUCUGGUUCAUUAUAAAAACAUCCUCAUCUGCUGACAUCAAAAACUGUAUUUCUAUACAUUAUGUGUCCAAGACCAUAAUAAUUUGGCAUCUGUUUCUUCAGUAGAGAAUUAAAUAUUGUAUUACAAAUUUUACCUAUAGAAAUACUAGCUUCUAGGACUACUGUGAAGGUUAUUUGUUUUUGACUAAAAUUUGUCCAAAAUUAACCAACAAUAUACUCACGAAGCCUUUUCUAGUGUAACUAUUUUCAGAAUAUAGGAAGGUAUCACUCACAUUUUCUACCUUCCCUUUCUUACUCUCGCGCGCGCGCGUGUGUGUGUGUGUGUGUGUGUGUGUGUGUGUCUACACAUGCCUAUGUGCAUUGUCAAAACCAGGGGCUUCUGCUCUAUCUACCAUUCAUCCCUGUUCCCUGUCCACACCACUGGAGUUCUAGGCGCAUGUGCAGCUCUGUUUAGCUUUUAAGUAGGUGAUAGGGAUCCCAACUCUGGUCCUUCUGCUUUCACAGCAAGCACUGUUAACCUUGAGCCAUCUCAGCAGCCCUCACCUUUGUUUUCUGCUUGUUUAUGGUGCUAGGAAUCAAGCCAGGGCUUCAUAAUUGCUAGGCAAGCACUGCAUCUAUGACUGAGUCCACUUCUCAUAUUUUCAGAAUUAUUCCAGAGUCUCAAAGACUUUUCUUACCCCCUUGCCUCACUUCUCUCUUACUGUGAUAACACUUGACCCCCUGUUCUGCCCUCUAUAGUUUUCAUAUUAACUCAAAGAUUGUGAACAGUGUGUAAUACUGUUUUGUAUAGAUAAACACAUAUAUAAAAUUAGCUAUCAUUAAAAGUCACUAAUAUCUUCUGUAGCUUCCUUUUAUUGUAAGGACAUUUAUGAUGUUUUAUUACUUUGGAUUUAAUUUUAUGAAUAUAUCUCUUGUAUUUAUAGUAUAUAUUAAAACAAAUUAGUAUUUACAUGCAGUUUCUGGGGUUUCACUUUUCAAACCAUUUUCCCAUGAAAAUUGCUAUAGUCAUCUUACCUGCAGAGUUUUUCUAAAGAAUAUAUCUAUAAAUAGAACCAAGGGCCCAUAGAACGUGUGUAUUUUUAAUUUGACAUGAUUCUGCCUAAUUUCCCUAUGUGAAGAUUUGCAUUUCUGAGAAGCCUGUAAAUAUUUUUAUUUUCCCAUAUUCCAACGGCAGUGUGAAAUGUGAAGAUUUUUUUUUAGAUGAAAUUAAGAUCUCACUGCUUCAUUAACAUUUUCCCAGCUAAGCAAGGAGGAUUCUCUCCUGGAGUCUUGAGUUGUGUAUGGAGUAUAACAGGAUGAAGGGAAAGAGAUCUGUCCACAAACAUAAUUUUCAUUUAAGAGCAGAGGCCUUGGAGUUGUCCUGUCUCAUUGACAUUUCUGCUUAUAUCUAUAUUUCCAAUGUGGUGACAGAUUCAAUCUGAUGGUUAGUACUAACUACCAGUUUGGCAGGAUCUAGACUCACCUGGGAGAUGGGCCUCUGGGCAUGGCUUGGCGGGGGCAGAGUGGCAAGUAUUUUUAUUAUGCUAAUAGAAGUGGUAUGAUCUUCUCACCUAGGUGCCUCCAUUUCCUAGAUGGGGAAUCCUGGACUGUAGGAUGUGGAGACAGAGAGCUGAGCACUAGCAUUAUCUCUGGGUGCUUGUAGCCACCCCCUAUAGCCAGGCAGGACUCCUAGCAGCAGGAUAAGAACAACAAUAUGAACUAAUCAGUACCCCCAGAGCUCGUGUCUCUAGCUGCAUAUAUAGUAAAAGAUGGCCUAGGAGGCCAUCACUGGGAAGAGAGGCCUCUUGGUCUUGCAAACUUUAUAUGCCCCAGUACAGGGGAAUGCCAGGGCCAAGAAAUGGGAGUGAAUGGGUAGGGGAGCAGAGUGGGGGUAUAGGAGACUUAUAGCAUUUGAAAUGUAAAUGAUGAAAAUAGCUAAAAAACAACAAACAACAACAACAAAAACAGAACACCAACCCACCCACAAACCUUCAACCCAAAAUUUGUCCUGCCUACAAGAAGUGCAGGGACAAAGAUAGAGCAGAGACUGAGGGAAUGGACCACCAAUAACUGGCCCAACUUGAGACCCAACCCAUGGGCAAGAAUCAAUUCCUGGCACUAUUAAUAAUACUCUGUUAUGCUUGUAGACAGAAGCCUAGCAUAAAUGUCCUCCACCCAGCAUCUGACUGAAGCAAAUGCAGAGACCAUAGCCAAACACUAGAGGGAGUUUGGAGGGUCUGAUGGAAGAGUUAGGGGAAGGAUUGAGGGACCCAGAGGGGAUAGAGACUCUGCAAGACCAACACAGUCACUACCCUCAACCCUUGGGGGCUCUCAGAGACUGAACCAUGAACUAGAGAGCAUAUAUAGGCUGGACUUAGCCCUCCACCCCAUUCAUAGCAGAUGUGUGGCUUGGUGGUUUUCAUAUGGGUCCUUCAACACCUGGAGCAGGGCUGUCCCUGACUAUGUUGCCUGUCUGUGGAUCCUAUACCCCUAACUGGACUGCCUUGUAUGGCCUCAGUGGGAAAGGAUGUGCUUAGUCCUUCAGUGAGUUGAUGUGCCAGGGUCAGUUGGUAUACAAGGUGUGUGUGUGUGGUGCCCUCCCUUCUCAGAGGAGAAGGGGAGGGGAUCUGAAAGGAGGGAAAGAAUGGGAGGAGGGGUGCUGUGAUCAGGAUGUAAAGUGAAUAAAUAAAUUACUUGAAGAAAAAAAUCUAAAAUAUGUAUUUCUAUGGAUGUUUUAUACACCUGCAAAUCUGUGUAUGAGUGCCUGUUAUCCUUGGAUGUCAGAAAAGAACAUUUGAUCCCCUGAAACUAGAGUUACAAACAGUUGUGGGCUGCCACCAAGACCAGGUUCUUUGGAAGAGCAUCCUGUGCUCUUAACCACCAAGUUAUCUCUCCAUCUCCUCUUACUUCUUGAUUGCAGAUGCUCCCUUGAUUGCACCGUGACUUCCCUGCCACGAAGAACAUAGAGCUAUGGGCCAAAAUAAAGCUCUCUUUCCUUAUGUUUCUUGGUCAGAGUUGUUUGUUUCUGUUUUUGUGAUCAGGUAUCACUCUGGAGCCCUGGCUAGUCUGGAGUUCACUAUGUAGACUGGACUGAUCUUAAACUCAGAGAUCCACCUACUUCUGCCUCCAGAGCAGUGGGAUUAAGGGUCUGUACAAUGGCUGGAGGAUUGGUUCAGUGGCUAAGAGCACUGACUGCUUUUCCAGAGGACCUGGGUUUAAUUCACUCACAUGGUAGCUCACAAUCACUUGUAACUCCAGCUUCAGGAACAAACACCAUUUUUAGGACCCAUGGGCAGUACACACACAUGAUACACAGACAUACAUGCACACAUAUACAUAAAAAUUAAAAAAUAAAAAGGAAGUUCAUUUCCCAUGUCUGUCUAAAAAAGUGACGUGUACAAUGAUACCCAGUCUUGGUUUGAGUAUUUUAUUAUAGUGAUUUAAAAAAAAAAAAAAGCCAGGACAAUGAGCUACCCAUAAAGUGUGACGACAUGACUGAAGACCUGAAUCUUUGAAUUCUAUUUGAGCACUGUUCAUGGCUAUUAUGUCUGGAGGUAUGACCCUAGGCCAGAUGUUCAAAUACCAGCUCAAUCAUUUGGUAUUUGACCUUAUGCAAGUCAUCGGAAUCACAGGAUUACAAAACAGAGAAUUUUACAAAAUGAUUUACUGAGAUGAAAGAAGGAGUUAAAAUGGUGUCGGCAAGGACUGUAUGAAGACUUGUUCUUUUACUAAUGGUCAUACAUAUUCCUAUGCUUAGUUGCCUAUUUCCAUUUCUGUUGUGUUUCUCUGUAUAAAACAUUUUCCCGGGGGGCUGGAGAGAUGGCUCAGAGGUUAAGAGCACUGACUGUUCUUCCAAAGGUCCUGAGUUCAAAUCCCAGCAACCACAUGGUGGUUCACAACCACCUGUAAUGAGACCUGAUGCCCUCUUCUGGUGUGUCUGAAGACAGCUACAGUGUACUUAGAUAUAAUAA